rnacentral:rRNA from 1 species
UACGGGGGGAGCAAGCGUUGUUCGGAUUUACUGGGCGUAAAGGGCGCGUAGGCGGUCGUGACAAGUCACUUGUGAAAUCUCCGGGCUUAACUCGGAACGGUCAAGUGAUACUGUCGGACUAGAGUACAGAAGGGCAACUGGAAUUCUCGGUGUAGCGGUGAAAUGCGUAGAUAUCGAGAGGAACACCUGCGGCGAAGGCGGGUUGCUGGGCUGACACUGACGCUGAGGCGCGAAAGCCAGGGAGCGAACGGG